UGUAUUUCACAUAAGAGUUGAAUUGAUAGGAGACAAUACAUAGCAAAUAUAUAGCAUCGAAAUUUGUAAUUUGUACUUGGAAUAUACGUGCAGCAGUUCUUUCGAUUAAAAAGAGGUUCCAGUGAUAUACACAAUGGAUCAAUCUACAAGUGGAGCAAUCAAUGCUGUGGCAGCAGCUACAAAUUCUAUUGAGUCGGCUGUAAUGGAUAUCAACGACAAACAAAACGUAGAAGAACCUGUGGCUGGCCCUUCCAAAGGAUUGCAAAACGCGACUAAUCGGAAAAUAGUAACUGCAGAAGAUAAAAAACACCGCGAAGAUAC